ACCCCCCCCCCGCCCCCCACCCGGGUCUGUUUUACUUCUCCGCCUCGGACGGUCCGGGGCGUCUCCCGUUCCCUGGGCUCCCUCCCCCGCCCGCCUUCCGCAGACGGGGACCAUCGGACCCGCCGCGCUGGUCACCUUACCAAGAUGGCGGCGGCGGGGAAAGAACUACAAGGCCCAGCGGGCCACGGCAGAAUAGAAGAUCCUUGAGGGAAGGGAUCGUCUUCACCGACUCUGGAGUGGCGUCCUCUCCCAGGAGCUUAGCACAGUGUCCCGCGCAGAUGUGGUUCUUAAAAACGCCAGCCACCCGAACGCCGGAAGCGAUACCCGGGUUGGAAAAAGCUGAUCCAUUUAGG